ACAAAGUACUUUGCGCAACAUAUCCUUAACGAUUCGUUAAAAAAAUAUCGUUCUAAAUAUUAUAGCAUAAUGGGAUAACGACAAAUAUUAUAAGCAUUUUUAUGUCAAGUCCAAUCAAUCAUCUAUCAGACUAUCCAGAAUUUAUAUUUUUCUUUUAGAUAAUACAUGUGUCUUUAAUUAUUUGAAUACCAUGAAGAACGCCCGAGAGGCAUUCAAUUGCCUAUUUAUCUGAUUCAUAUUGCGAGUAUUAUUCUACGAUCGCAUUUGCUCUCUUCUACAGGCUUAACACUUUGGAAAUGAUGAACGAAAAAUGUGAAGUUCAUUAAUUUGUAUUCAUUUUCCAAAUUAUUGCAUUAAUGUGUUAGCUCUUUCAUGCUAAAGACUACUACCUAAACUCGUUGAUUUCAACUUGCAGAAAACAAUAUUACAAUACACUUGAAAGUAUAGUCAGCGGAGAAUAGAACAAAUGGAGUAAAUUAUUAUAACAAUCCAAAAAUAUGUUACAUUGCUGUUAAGAUUCAGAAAAGC